rnacentral:piRNA from 1 species
UGGGCUUGAAUCUUAAGAGCUGGAUGUCCC